rnacentral:lncRNA from 1 species
UGAGCCUGUAAAGAGAGCUGGAGCACAAAGCCCGGGCUGUGGGGCAGGAGCAGAACAUGCCAGGUGAUGUGGGGUUUCUGAUGCUAGCAUAUUGUGCCACUGCAUACCAGCCAGCUGAGUACCUUCUAUAGAAUAAGAUUCAUGUCCCCAGCAAGCAUGCACACUGGUUUGGGCUACAUCAGCACCAAGACAGUCCCUUGGUAAUUUUCUGUUGUGCCAAGGCUACUAACAGGUAUGAACUGCACCAUGCUUGAGCAGGUCCUCCUCAACAC